GCUGCCCCAUAAACCAGCUCAUCUCUCCAGAUGACCCCUGCAGGAGAUUGCAACACAAUACCACAGUGAGGAAAGCCAGAUGUUGCCCACAUCCCCCUCGGAGAAACCCGCCAGGGGCAUGUUGGGACGUUGGGAGUGUGAGCCCUGGAGACAGUGUUGUGGCAGGGAUCCAGGUUCUCCCAGCUGCCGGCCACAGGGCUCUGCCCAGGGGUCCUGAGUUUCCUCAAUGGCAUUCUAAUCCAUGAGUGUUCAGAGAGAGCAGGUGGGCUCCCCUACCCGGCGCCUUCCGACCGGCAUCUGGAAAAGGAUAGUCAGAAACGCAGUGAAAAUUACGCCUGCAACCCUGGCAGGCAGGGAAGCACUUAAUAACUUACGUGGGUGUCAGGGCAAGGGAGGCGUCCGCAGACCAGAGUUGUGAUGGACCGUUCUCCACCAUGUGAUGUUCAUUUUCUCCACUGAGAUUAAAAAAGAAGAGGAAAGGAAAGAAGGAAAGUGCACAACCUCCUUGAAAAGACAGCUCCUCCUGCCGAAAAUGUGUUGCAGACUCGGUCAGUCAGGUGGACUUAAUUGGAAGGCACUUUCUUUUUGAUGGAAAAAGAAGGAGAAAGAUUUGUAAAAUUGAACCAAUGUUAACACACUCGCAUCCCACAAGGAGCUGAGUUUUGAUCUGCUUCAUGCUGAGAGAGCGGGAAGGAGACCAGAGUGUGUCUCAGACUUUCUAAGCUCAGCUUUUUUUCUGGUACAGAGGAGAAGUUCAAAUGCUGAAAUUCUGUUUAUAUGUAGUGCCUGCUUGGCUCAAGCAGUGCAAACCAUGAACUCAAACAGUCCCAGUGACAACUGUCCAUGUGGCUCCAGACCUGCAGAAAGAACGUGGAAGCUCUGAAAAAGUCACAACCAGAGUUUACGUCCAGCCUCACUCUUCAUGACCUGGCAUUUACUUGUAACGGUGGACUUUACACACCACCCACAGACCCUGUGAAGCUGGGAGAAGCCACUGACAUUUUGUCCUUCCUCACAUUUCAGUGUGAUGAGCACACACAGAAUACCUGCCCACUGCGAGGUACGACAGGAAAUGCCGGUGACUCAAAGACCAGGGGCUUGGUCUCUUCUGGGCACCUCUUCCCAUUCAUGUUUCUCCUCUUCACUCCUGAUUCCUUUGCAUUCUCCCUUGCAAUUGCUUUCCAGUUAUUUCUUGAUGCAACUUUUUUUCUCAAGCUAAUUUUCAUGGGACACUAUGGACAUCUUUCGGCCUCACUGGAAUUACUCAAGGUAAAGAGCAUUUCAUAGACCAGCGGCUUUGCUGGACAGGAAGGGCUAAACGUAGAAUCAACGACAGUCAACGAUUAAAACCAACUUUCAGCUGAGUUGCAAACAUUCCUUAUUAGUUUUCUUCAGCAUGAGUAUUCCACACAUGAAAUCCUCCACUUGGUUCUGCAUAUGGGGGCAAUUGUUACAAUCAAAAUAGUUCAGAAAAGUUGAGGAAUUACUUCAUGAGGACCGUGUCAUCUCGAUGCAUAGACGCAAUUACUUCUGCAUCCGAGCCAUUAUUACUCACUUUCCCAUUGGUUAGAAAUUAAUAUCAUCCUUUCACUAAACCAA
ensembl:lncRNA LINC02063 long intergenic non-protein coding RNA 2063